UGUUCUCAGGCUGUGAAUUGUUGUACCACUGGUCGGCAGUCAGAUGUCCUCAGUAUACAGGGAAGAUAAAAACAGACCACCCAAACCUUAUAGGAUUGAGCAAUACCUGUAUUUGCUCUCUGUUUGGGAGUAUAUUUUAUUCCUUUUUUUUUUUUUAAUCAGCUCAUUACAUACAGAGAGCACUAUAGUCUGUUUUUAUCUUCCCUGUAUACUGAGGACAUCUGACUGCCGACCAGUGGUACAACAAUUCACAGCCUGAGAACAAAAAAACUCACCAAGAAGUACCUGGAUCUACCAUUAUAUCCACAGACGGGGAUUAUUUCAUCCAUGCACAUCAAUCUGG